rnacentral:rRNA from 1 species
CCCGGGGCUGCUAUACAUGCAAGUCGAGCGGACAGAAGGGAGCUUGCUCCCGGAUGUUAGCGGCGGACGGGUGAGUAACACGUGGGUAACCUGCCUGUAAGACUGGGAUAACUCCGGGAAACCGGAGCUAAUACCGGAUAGUUCCUUGAACCGCAUGGUUCAAGGAUGAAAGACGGUUUCGGCUGUCACUUACAGAUGGACCCGCGGCGCAUUAGCUAGUUGGUGGGGUAAUGGCUCACCAAGGCGACGAUGCGUAGCCGACCUGAGAGGGUGAUCGGCCACACUGGGACUGAGACACGGCCCAGACUCCUACGGGAGGCAGCAGUAGGGAAUCUUCCGCAAUGGACGAAAGUCUGACGGAGCAACGCCGCGUGAGUGAUGAAGGUUUUCGGAUCGUAAAGCUCUGUUGUUAGGGAAGAACAAGUGCGAGAGUAACUGCUCGCACCUUGACGGUACCUAACCAGAAAGCCACGGCUAACUACGUGCCAGCAGCCGCGGUAAUACGUAGGUGGCAAGCGUUGUCCGGAAUUAUUGGGCGUAAAGGGCUCGCAGGCGGUUUCUUAAGUCUGAUGUGAAAGCCCCCGGCUCAACCGGGGAGGGUCAUUGGAAACUGGGAAACUUGAGUGCAGAAGAGGAGAGUGGAAUUCCACGUGUAGCGGUGAAAUGCGUAGAGAUGUGGAGGAACACCAGUGGCGAAGGCGACUCUCUGGUCUGUAACUGACGCUGAGGAGCGAAAGCGUGGGGAGCGAACAGGAUUAGAUACCCUGGUAGUCCACGCCGUAAACGAUGAGUGCUAAGUGUUAGGGGGUUUCCGCCCCUUAUUGCUGCACCUAACGCAUUAAGCACUCCGCCUGGGGAGUACGGUCGCAAGACUGAAACUCAAAGGAAUUGACGGAGGCCCGCACAAACCGUGAACCAUGUGGUUUAUUUCAAAACAACGCGGAAAAACCUUACCAGGGCUUGACAUCCUCUGACAACCCUACAGAAAGGGCUUUCCCUUCCGGGACAAAGUGAAAAGUGGUGCAUGGUUUUCUUCCCCUCCUUCCUGAAAAUGUUGGUUUAAUUCCGCCACCACCGCCACCCCUGAUCUUUUGUUCCCCCAUUUUNNUUGNUCCUUUGGGGGGGAAUCCCCGGGGACNNACCCGGAAAAAAGGGGGGGGGGGGGGGAGUGUACCCCCCGUUAAC